GAUGCAAGUCGAACGGCAGCACAGUAAGAGCUUGCUCUUAUGGGUGGCGAGUGGCGGACGGGUGAGGAAUACAUCGGAAUCUACCUUUUCGUGGGGGAUAACGUAGGGAAACUUACGCUAAUACCGCAUACGACCUUCGGGUGAAAGCAGGGGACCUUCGGGCCUUGCGCGGAUAGAUGAGCCGAUGUCGGAUUAGCUAGUUGGCGGGGUAAAGGCCCACCAAGGCGACGAUCCGUAGCUGGUCUGAGAGGAUGAUCAGCCACACUGGAACUGAGACACGGUCCAGACUCCUACGGGAGGCAGCAGUGGGGAAUAUUGGACAAUGGGCGCAAGCCUGAUCCAGCCAUACCGCGUGGGUGAAGAANGCCUUCGGGUUGUAAAGCCCUUUUGUUGGGAAAGAAAAGCAGUCGAUUAAUACUCNGUUGUUCUGACG
rnacentral:rRNA from 1 species